GCGCGUAGGGAUCGCCCCCCGUCAGCGCGUCGCGCCCACGGGGGCGUUAUCG
rnacentral:sRNA from 1 species